rnacentral:rRNA from 1 species
UACGGGGGGGGCAAGCGUUGUUCGGAAUUACUGGGCGUAAAGGGCUCGUAGGCGGCCAACUAAGUCAGACGUGAAAUCCCUCGGCUUAACCGGGGAACUGCAUCUGAUACUGGAUGGCUUGAGUUCGGGAGAGGGAUGCGGAAUUCCAGGUGUAGCGGUGAAAUGCGUAGAUAUCAGGAGGAACACCUGUGGUGUAGACAGCUUACUGGACCACUUCUGACGCUGAGACACGAAAGCGUGGGUAGCAAACAGG